rnacentral:rRNA from 1 species
CGCGUAGGCGGCCUGCUAAGUCUGGAGUGAAAGUCCUGCUUUCAAGGUGGGAAGUGCUUUGGAUACUGGUGGGCUGGAGUGCAGGAGAGGAAAGCGGAAUUACCGGUGUAGCGGUGAAAUGCGUAGAGAUCGGUAGGAACACCAGUGGCGAAGGCGGCUUUCUGGACUGAAACUGACGCUGAGGCGCGAAAGCGUGGGAGCAAACA